rnacentral:rRNA from 1 species
CCUACGGGUGGCUGCAGUGAGGAAUAUUGGUCAAUGGGCUAAGGCCUGAACCAGCCAAGUCGCGUGAGGGAAGACGGUCCUAUGGAUUGUAAACCUCUCUUGUCGGGGAGAAACGAGGCCACGCGUGGCCGAAGUGAGAGUACCCGAAGAAAAAGAAUAGGCUAGCUCCGUGCCAGCAGCCGCGGUAAGACGGAGGAUGCGAGGGUUAUCCGGAUUGAUUGGGUUUAAAGGGUGCGUAGGCGGAACAUCGAGUCAGCGGUAAAAUCGAGGGGCUCAAACCCUUUAAGCCGUUGAAACUGGUGAUCUUGAUUGGGCGAGAAGUAAGCGGAAUGCGUGGUGUAGCGGUGAAAUGCGUAGAUAUCACGCAGAACUCCGAUUGCGAAGGCAGCAUACCGGCGCCCGACUGACGCUGAGGCACGAAAGCGUGGGGAUCGAACAGGAUUAGAUACCCCUGUAGUC